rnacentral:rRNA from 1 species
GAUGAACGCUGGCGGCGUGCUUAACACAUGCAAGUCGAACGAAGCACUUUAUUUGAUUUCCUUCGGGACUGAUUAUUUUGUGACUGAGUGGCGGACGGGUGAGUAACGCGUGGGUAACCUGCCUUGUACAGGGGGAUAACAGUUGGAAACGGCUGCUAAUACCGCAUAAGCGCACGGUAUCGCAUGAUGCAGUGUGAAAAACUCCGGUGGUAUAAGAUGGACCCGCGUUGGAUUAGCUAGUUGGUGAGGUAACGGCCCACCAAGGCGACGAUCCAUAGCCGACCUGAGAGGGUGACCGGCCACAUUGGGACUGAGACACGGCCCAAACUCCUACGGGAGGCAGCAGUGGGGAAUAUUGCACAAUGGGCGAAAGCCUGAUGCAGCGACGCCGCGUGAGCGAAGAAGUAUUUCGGUAUGUAAAGCUCUAUCAGCAGGGAAGAUAAUGACGGUA